GUAGUCAGUGAAUAAAAGAUAAAAAAAACCAGUUCUCGUCCGAUCACUGAAGUUAAGCAACGUCGGGCUCGGUUAGUACUUGGAUGGGUGACCGCCUGGGAACACCGAUUACUGUAGACG
rnacentral:rRNA from 1 species